UACGAAGGUGGCAAGCGUUACUCGGAAUUACUAGGCGUAAAGGGCAGGUAGGUGGUUUGGUAAGUCUGCUGUGUAAGCUCCCGGCUUAACUGGGAGAGGUCAGCGGAAACUACCAGGCUUGAGUAUAGGAGAGGGCACUGGAAUUCCCGGUGUAGCGGUGAAAUGCGCAGAUAUCGGGAGGAACACCAAUGGCGAAAGCAGGUGCCUGGACUAUUACUGACACUCAGCUGCGAAAGCUAGGGGAG
rnacentral:rRNA from 1 species